GAGUAACGCGUGAGUAACCUGCCUUCAANAGGGGGAUAACAUUCUGAAAAGAAUGCUAAUACCGCAUGACAUAUCGGAACCACAUGGUUUUGAUAUCAAAGAUUUUAUCGCUUGAAGAUGGACUCGCGUCCGAUUAGUUAGUUGGUGAGGUAACGGCUCACCAAGACCGCGAUCGGUAGCCGGACUGAGAGGUUGAACGGCCACAUUGGGACUGAGACACGGCCCAGACUCCUACGGGAGGCAGCAUG
rnacentral:rRNA from 1 species